UACGGGGGGAGCAAGCGUUGUUCGGAUUUACUGGGCGUAAAGGGCGCGUAGGCGGUCAGCACAAGUCAGUUGUGAAAUCUCCGGGCUUAACUCGGAAAGGUCAACUGAUACUGUGCGACUAGAGUGCAGAAGGGGCAACUGGAAUUCUUGGUGUAGCGGUGAAAUGCGCAGAUAUCAGGAGGAACACCGAUGGCGAAGGCAGGUCUCUGGGCUGUAACUGACGCUGAGGAGCGAAAGCAUGGGGAGCGAACAGG
rnacentral:rRNA from 1 species